rnacentral:piRNA from 1 species
UAGAAGUAUCAAAUGCACAAUAGGAGGGU